GGAUUGUGGCUCAGUGAUAGAGUGCUUGCCUGCCAUGUGUGAGGAACUGGGUUCGAUUCUCAGCACCA
rnacentral:tRNA from 1 species